UAAACCUGGUUGAUCCUGCCAGUAGUCAUAUGCUUGUCUCAAAGACUAAGCCAUGCAUGUCUAAGUAUAAGUGUUAUACAGCGAAACUGCGAAUGGCUCAUUAAAACAGUUAUAGUUUAUUUGACAAUCGAAUUUACAUGGAUAACCGUGGUAAUUCUAGAGCUAAUACAUGCUGGUGUGCCCGACUUUUCGGA
rnacentral:rRNA from 1 species